CAGCACCUCAAGUGGUCAGGAUGAUUAUUGGGCCUAAAGCAUCCGUAGCCGGCUCUGUAAGUUUUCGGUUAAAUCUGUACGCUCAACGUACAGGCUGCCGGGAAUACUGCAGAGCUAGGGAGUGGGAGAGGUAGACGGUACUCGGUAGGAAGGGGUAAAAUCCUUUGAUCUAUUGAUGACCACCUGUGGCGAAGGCGGUCUACCAGAACACGUCCGACGGUGAGGGAUGAAAGCUGGGGGAGCAAACCGGAUUAGAUACCCGCGUGUCC
rnacentral:rRNA from 1 species